rnacentral:rRNA from 1 species
UACGGGGGGGGCAAGCGUUGUUCGGAAUCACUGGGCUUAAAGGGCGCGUAGGCGGGCUGUCAAGUCUGGGGUGAAAUCCCGCGGCUCAACCGUGGAACUGCCUCAGAUACUGACGGGCUCGAGGGAGGUAGGGGCGAGCGGAACUGUGAGUGGAGCGGUGAAAUGCGUUGAUAUUCACAGGAACACCGGUGGCGAAGGCGGCUCGCUGGACCUUUUCUGACGCUGAGGCGCGAAAGCUAGGGGAGCAAACGGG